rnacentral:sRNA from 1 species
CCCCGUCCCGGUCCCUGGCCCCUGCCCUGUCGCCCGCCGCCGGAGCGGCGACAGCCCGGCCCGCCGUUCUUCUGCUGCCGCCGCUGCCGGCACCAUGGGCAGUGAGCAGAGCUCCGAGGCCGAGAGCCGACCCAACGAUCUGAACUCCUCAGUGACUCCUUCACCAGCCAAGCAUAGAGCCAAGAUGGAUGAUAUUGUGGUUGUAGCUCAGGGCUCCCAGGCCUCACGGAACGUCAGCAACGAUCCCGACGUCAUCAAGUUGCAAGAGAUUCCAACCUUCCAGCCCCUUUUGAAAGGGCUAUUGAGUGGCCAGACUUCCCCAACAAAUGCCAAAUUGGAGAAACUGGACUCUCAGCAGGUGUUGCAGCUCUGCCUCCGAUAUCAAGAUCACCUGCAUCAGUGUGCAGAGGCCGUUGCUUUUGACCAGAAUGCUUUGGUUAAACGAAUCAAAGAGGUAAUGUGCUGUGGGAAAAUAACAUUGCUGACUGGUUAUUGUGCUUCUCUGCAACUCUGGAUGCCAUUUAAGACUUGACAUUUGUCACUAUUGCUUUGA